rnacentral:rRNA from 1 species
AACGCGAAGAACCUUACCCAGAUUUGACAUGCAGAGGAAUAUAUUGGAGACAGUAUAGCCCGCAAGGGUCUUUGCACAGGUGCUGCAUGGCUGUCGUCAGCUCGUGCCGUGAGGUGUUGGGUUAAGUCCCGCAACGAGCGCAACCCUUAUCGUCAGUUGCCAGCAAGUAAAGUUGGGCACUUUGGCGAGACUGCCCGGGUUAACCGGGAGGAAGGUGAGGAUGACGUCAAGUCCGCAUGGCCUUUAUGUUUGGGGCUACACACGUGCUACAAUGGUCGUUACAGAGGGUUGCGAAGCCGCGAGGCGGAGCUAAUCUCAAAAAGCGGCCUCAGUUCAGAUUGCAGUCUGCAACUCGACUGCAUGAAGAUGGAAUUGCUAGUAAUGGCGUGUCAGCAACAGCGCCGUGAAUACGUUCCCGGGCCUUGUACACACCGGAGUGC